UGCAAAUAAAGCUUAUCACUGGUCUGCAUGUUUGGCAGCUUUCUUUAGCAAUAAAAUCUCAGCAGGGUCUGCCACGUUGUCUUCUUUACAGGAGCCAGUGGUCACAGUCCUGAACUUUCAACUAUGACUGUCCUGCUCAUAAUUUGUCCUUUCUGAGGUCUCUACUGCCAUUGACUGUGAAUUCAAAGGUUUAUGAGAUCAAUAGCAUACUGUGGAGGAAACCAUGCAUACACCCCAGUAUGGAGGUGAGUCUCAGACAGGGAAUCUCUGGAGCUAGGAGUUAGAAGAGUUUCUACAGUUCAGACAUUAUAAAUGAGUGAUCAGCUCUGACUUUGAA
rnacentral:lncRNA from 1 species